ensembl:miRNA
GGGGUCUUCCAGCCUUGUGGCUGCUGGAUGGGUGCUCUCUACUAGUGCUGUGCAGAGGCUUUCACUGAGGCUGCUGUGAGCCUGUAGGGUUUCCCCCAGGCUACGGAGCCAGGUCGCUGGAACGCCACCCAGC